rnacentral:rRNA from 1 species
GUUAAAAAGCUCGUAGUUGGAUUUCUGUUGAGGACGGCCGGUCCGCAUUAUGUGCGUGUAUCUGGUUCGGCCUUGGCAUCCUCCAGGGGAACGUUCCUGCGCUUCGCUGCGUGGGACGGUAUUCUGGACUUUUACUUUGAGGAAAUUAGAGUGUUCACGGCAGGCAGUCGCCUUGAAUAUAUUAGCAUGGAAUAAUAAUAUAGGACCUUGAUUCUAUUUUGUUGGUUUCUAGAAUUUAGGUAAUGAUUAAUAGGGACAAUUGGGGGCAUUUGUAUUAACACGUCAGAGGUGGAAUUCUUGGAUUGUGUUACGACAAACUACUGCGAAAGCAUUUGCCGAGGAUGUUUUCAUUGAUCAAGAACGAAAGUAAGGGGAUCGAAGACGAUUAGAUACCGUCGUAGUCUUUACCAUAAACUAUGCCAACUAGAGAUUGGAGGUCGUUCUUUUUAUGACUCCUUCAGCACCUUAUGAGAAAUCAAAGUCUUUGGGUUCCGGGGGGAGUAUGGUCGCAAGGCUGAAACUUAAAGGAAUUGACGGAAGGGCACCACCAGGAGUGGAGCCUGCGCCUUAAUUUGACUCACCACCGGAAAACUCACCAGGUCCAGACAUAGUAAGGAUUGACAGAUUGAUAGCUCUUUCU